GAGAAACUAAAAUAGCUUGCUAUUUUAGACUAAGUGGCGCACGGGUGAGUAAUAUAUAGGUAACGUGCCCUAGAGAGGGGGAUAACAGUUGGAAACGACUGCUAAGACCCCAUAUGCCUUUAUCACAAAAGUGAGCAAGGGAAAUAUUUAUAGCUCUAGGAUCGGCCUGUACGGUAUCAGUUAGUUGGUGAGGUAAUGGCUCACCAAGACAAUGACACCUAACUGGUUUGAGAGGAUGAUCAGUCACACUGGAACUGAGACACGGUCCAGACUCCUACGGGAGGCAGCAGUGGGGAAUAUUGCACAAUGGACGAAAGUCUGAUGCAGCAACGCCGCGUGGAGGAUGACACAUUUCGGUGCGUAAACUCCUUUUAUAUAGGAAGAUAAUGACGGUACUAUAUGAAUAAGCACCGGCUAACUCCGUGCCAGCAGCCGCGGUAAUACGGAGGGUGCAAGCGUUACUCGGAAUUACUGGGCGUAAAGAGCGUGUAGGCGGGUCAAUAAGUUGGAAGUGAAAUCCUAUGGCUCAACCAUAGAACUGCUUCCAAAACUGUUAACCUAGAAUGUGGGAGAGGUAGAUGGAAUUUCUGGUGUAGGGGUAAAAUCCGUAGAUAUCAGAAGGAAUACCGAUUGCGAAGGCGAUCUACUGG
rnacentral:rRNA from 1 species